rnacentral:rRNA from 1 species
AAAUGCUAGAGCUAAUACACGCUACGAUGCUUUGGAGAUUACUAUGUGCAAAGCGCGUUUAUUGGUGCAAUCUGUCGGCAUUGUCUUUAUGGCAAUUUGUCCGAUCAGUUGUUGAAACGGAGUAACUAUGCUGAUCGCACGGUCUUAGUACCGGCGACGAAUCUUUGAAAUGACUUGCUCAUCAACUGUCGAUGGUAGGUUACGUGCCUACCAUGGUGACAACGGUUAACGGAGAAUCAGGGUUCGAUUCCGGAGAAGGAGCCUGAGAGACGGCUACUACAUCCAAGGAAGGCAGCAGGCGCGCAAAUUACCCACUCCCAGAACGGGGAGGUAGUGACGAUAAAUAACGGAACGUAUCUCGAUGAGACGCGUUACCGGAACGAUUGAGCCGUAUAUGAGCUCGACUAAAGCUAUUGGAGGGCAAGUCUGGUGCCAGCAGCCGCGGUAAUUCCAGCUCCAAUAGCGUAUAUUAAAGCUGCUGCGGUUGAACCGCUCGUAGUUGGAUUGCGAUUUUCGGCCACGGUCCUCGAAGUCAAGAGGAUUGGCUCUGCCGCCGUUGGUCAUGAUCGGUAUUGUCAUACUUGUCUUUGAUGCUCUUCACCGAGUGUCAUGGGUGAGAUGGACGUUUACUUUGAGAAAAUAAGAGCGCUCAAAGCAGGCUGCUUAUAGCUUGAACGGAAUUUCAUGGGAUAGUGAAAAAUGAUCUCGCUGGUAUUGAAAAGUAACCACGAGGUAAUGAUUAAAAGAGACAGACGGUGGCAUUCGUACUGCUGCGUUAGAGGUGAAAUUCUUGGAUCGCAGCAAGACGAACAAUUGCGAAAGCAUUUGCCAAGAAUGUUUUCAUUAAUCAAGAACGAAAGUUGGAGGAUCGAA